AACGAACGCUGGCGGCAUGCCUAACACAUGCAAGUCGAACGAGACCUUCGGGUCUAGUGGCGCACGGGUGCGUAACGCGUGGGAACCUGCCUUUAGGUUCGGAAUAACUCAGAGAAAUUUGAGCUAAUACCGGAUAAUGUCUUCGGACCAAAGAUUUAUCGCCUUUAGAUGGGCCCGCGUUGGAUUAGCUAGUUGGUGGGUAAAGCCUACCAAGGCGACGAUCCAUAGCUGGUCUGAGAGGAUGAUCAGCCACACUGGGACUGAGACACGGCCCAGACUCCUACGGAGGCAGCAGUGGGAAUAUUGGACAAUGGGCGAAAGCCU
rnacentral:rRNA from 1 species